rnacentral:misc_RNA from 1 species
UCUGAUACCAACUUUGUCACGACCUAAAUUAUGGGUUGGACCAGCAUUAGGACUUGGGUCAGUAUAAGGCCCCCAAAGCCCAUAGUAAGCCUAACUAUUUUAGCCCAACCAUGAAUCCCAUAUUCUAAGUCUCAAUUUAAGAAACUAACCGGACAGAGUCUGACCUUAACCUGGAUUAUCCAACUAGGAGUUCUUGACUCACUCGACCUGUAAUCACAAAAUAUAUCCAUUUGGAGAGCUCAGCUCACCCUCAUAAUACUUAUUAAAGGCUCGAAAAAAAAUACUGCGAAGUUGAUGGGACCCAUCAAAUUUUUUAUGUCAGAAAAUUUUGAAAUUUAUAUCACCGCAAAGCUCUUGCCAAGUAGAGCACGCCGGUGAUCUCAGAAUCUCCGUGGAGUUCCUAGUCUAGGAGAAAUCUAGCCCAAAAGUGAAAAUAGGCUAAAACUUUCCAGGCUUGAAUUGGACAAAUAAAUUGACAAAAAUUUAUGUUCUUAGUGUCUUUGGAAAGCUCUCAAAGUGUAGAGGUUGAUUGGGACUGGACCCAAUCCGAUUGGUGACCAGAUCGACCAUAAUCGACCUUACAAGUUGAAGAGUCGUGCUGCUCAUAGGAGGGACUUCAACUCGAUUUUUCGGCUUCCUAGGGCUGCAGCCAGCGGUGGGGAUGGUUGCUGGUGGUGUUCCGGUGAGCUGGGGAGGAGGGGGAGGUAGUGGUCGGUGGUGGGGAGGAGAGAGGAGAGAGAAAAUGAAGAGGGAAGGGGAGGUGCCUAGUGCGAAACAGGAGGGAGGAAGAAAAAGGGAAAAUGGGCCCUUUUGUAAGGGUUUGAUAGAGCAGGAAUCUACAAGUAUUAAUUCAUAAAAUUUUCUAUUUUUGUAAGGGUUUUCUUGGAUAAAAUAAUGGUUUGGUUGAAAUAAGUUUUGGAUGAUGUUUGGGUAAUUUGGGUUAUUAAAGUUUCCAUUAAAAAUUUUGAGUUCUAGGAUUGUAAUGUGUUUUGCAAUAGGUUUAGUAUAAAACUUGGUUGGGUUAAAGGUUAGGCUUUUUAAUAAUGCUUCAGUGUAAUUAGAGGCAAAUUUUGUUUGUGGGGAGGAGGAAGAGGCUUUAGAGCUGGAGGCUUUGUGUACUAAUGUAAAGGAUUCUUUAAGAGAUGUAUUGGAAGGAGAAGUGGGUCUAAUUAAUCUUGAAUUAAUUGGAGGAGGUGAAGGCUGUAAUGGUACAUAAGUAUUUUUUAUAUAAUCGUCAACUGUAAUUUUCUUUUUAAUAGGAGUGCUCAUUAAUUUUGAUCUUAAGCUUUUUCCUGUAAAAAUUCAUGUGUAAGAAAAUCAAGUAAAGAGUUAGAAGAUCCUUUGAUAUAUUCAAUUAUAAAAUCAAAACAUCCUAAAAGAGUUUGUCAUCUUGCAAAAACUUAUUUCGAAAUCAAAUUUCUAACAUAUUUUUGUAAAACAUCUUCAGCAACUGAACAAUCAAUGCAUAAUAAAAAUUUUUUGUUUACUAAAUCAUCUUGAAAUUUUGUAAUAUAUAAAACAAUAGAUAAAACUUCUUUUUUAAUUGUAGAAUAAUUUGUGUGGGUUGCAUAAUCUCUUUUUGGGAUGUUCCAAUUAUAUAAUUGAUUUUCAAUUUUAACAAUAUCAGAAUCUAAUAUAUCAAACUCUUGAUGGUUAAAGAUUCAGAUGGAAUGGAAGAAGAAAGAUCUCUUCUACUCAUGGACCGGAACAAAGAAGAUAUUAUAGUAAUAGGAUUGAGAAACUUAUUGCGAUCUAGUAAAUUGAUUAUUUAUAUAAACAAAAUUUCAUUUAAUUAGAAUUUAUAUAUAUAAUUUUGUCAUUUAUUGGUCUUUGUAAAUAUAUGAACGUAAUUGAUAUUUUUUUUUAAUAACGUAAAUAAUAUAGAUUAAGGGUAUUUUUUGUUAGUUUGAAAAUUCAUUCACUCAU